AGUACCUGAUAAAUUUGUUCAUCCCAUGGGAUAGUUACCUCCAUAUACGUGGUAUGUAUAAUAUAUACAUCCACAUCUCUAUAGUGUGUGCACAAUACAUAUAACAUGUAUGUGUAUGAUUAUAAAAAAGAAGAAAUAGAGCUGAGCAGGCCUGCAGCAAAUGCUGUUUUUGUCUUCUUCUUUCUUGGAAAGGCUGCUCAGAAGAAAUUAAUAAUUAAUCUCACACCAACAGCUGGUGAUUGCAGAUUGUCUCCCCAUGCACAGUGCUUGGUCUCCAGCUUUUGUUUUAGAAUUCUGUUGUCACUUCAGCUGGAGUAGCCCUCAGGCCUUACAUUGCAAAGCAACCUCUGUAUCUCCUAGAUUAUCUUCUUGUCACUGCCCAAGGCCUGUUGAUUAUCACUUCAUCAAGCAAAAUGAGCACCCAAAUGUGUGAUGAGCUCAUACAGUAUAAGUAAGAAGUGAUGGGGACAGAUGCUCAGUUGGCGUGGGAUACUGUAGUUCCAUUGACUUCAGCUGGUGAUCUGUCCCAUCGUAACCCUGACUGAGGAUGCUUUACAUUCUAAUUUCAGGCAUGAUGCAACAAAGGGAUGGGAUCAGGCAGAUGAGCAAAAGAUCAGGAUCACUUCAGGUCUAGGCACCCUUGAAUAGUCCACAGGCCAGAGUAAAACAAACUGGAGCUUGACAAGCACACAGGAACUUGGCAGCCUGCAAUACAUACAACAUGGAGCAACUAAUUGCACCAACAGCCAUCUGGAAGACAGGCAUAACUUUGCCGAUUUUGGAGAGGCAGAUUGCAGUGCACCAUGGUGAGAAAUGAAAAGAAAGCAGAAGAAAAAGGUAAAAACAGAACAAAUAUAAGAUGGCAUCAGCAAUAUUUCAGGCCUUGCUGGUUUCUCCUUUGCCCCUGAAUGCAGAGGAGAUCAAGGACACUGUGGAGCUUAUGCCUUCUUCAGGGAAUG